GUGGGAUUUAUCCCAGGAAUGCAAGGAUUUUUCAGUAUCUGCAAAUUUAUCCUCAUGAUACACUACAUUAGCAAACUGAAGAACAAAAGUCAUAUGAUCAUCUCAAUAGACAAAGAAAAAGAUUUUGAUGAAAUUCAACAUCCAUUUAUGAUAAAAAUUCUUCAGAAAGUGGGUACAGAGGGAACAUGCUUCAACAUAAUAAAUGCUAUAUAUGACAAACCUACAGCUACCAUUACACUGUACAGUGAAAAGCUGAAAGCAUUUCCUCUCUGAUUGGGAACAAAACAAGGAUGCCUACUCACCGCUUUUAUUCAACAUAUUUUUGGAAAUCCUAGUCACAGUAAUUAGACAAGAGAAAGAAAUAGAAGGCAUCCAAAUUGGAAAUGAAUAAGUAAAACUGUCACUGUUUGCAAAUGACAUGAUACCAUAAAAUCCUAAAGGUGACACCAAAAGACAGCUGGAGCUCAUUAAUGAAUUUGGUAAAGCUGCAGGAUAUAAAAAUCAGUGUACAGAAAUCUGUUGCAUUUCUAUCAGAAUGAAAAAUUUUGGAAACAAUCCCAUUUACAAUUAUAUCAAAAAGAUUCAAAUACCUAAGAAUAAACCUACCUAGCAAGGUAAAAGACCUAUAAUAGGAAAACUAUAAAACAAUAGUGAAAGAAGUUUAAAACAACACAAAUAGGUGGAAAGAUAAGCUGUGUUCAUGGAUUAGAAGCAUUAAUAUUAUUGAAAUAACCACACUAUCCAAGACCAUCUACAGUUUCAAUGCAAUCCCAAUCAAAAUGCUAUGGGCAUUUUUCAUAGAACUAGAACAAAUACUUUAAAAAAUUUUAUGUAAACACAAAAGAUCCUGAAUAGUCAACACAAUCUUGAGAAAGAACAGAGCUGAAGAAUCAUGCUGAUUUCAGACUAUACUGCAAAGUUAUACUUAUCAAAACAAUGUAGUACUGGCAUAUAAACAGACAAGUAGAUCCAUGGAACAGAACAGAGGGCCUAGAAAUAAACAUAUGCCCUUAUGUUCAAUUAAUCUACGGCAAAGGAGGCAAGAAUAUACAGUGGAGAAGAGACAGUCUUCUCUUAAGUGAUGCUUGGAAAACUGGGCAGCUACUAGCUACAUGUAAAAGACACUAGUACAUUCUCUAAUAACCAACACAAAAGUAAACUCAAAAUGGCUUAAAGACUUCUAGGUGUUAGACCAGAAACCACAGAACUCCUAGAUGAAAAUACAGGCAAAACACUCUUUGACAUAAAUUGUAGCAAUGUAUUUUUUUUUUUGCAUCUGUCUCCCAAGGCAAAAAAAUAUAGAGUUAGGUACAAACUACUAUGUAUAAAAUAAAUAAGCUAUAAGGACAUAUUAUAUAGCACAGAAUAUAUCCACUAUUUUAUAAUAACUUUAAAUGGAGUAUUAUCUAUAAAAAUUGAGAAUCAUUUUGCUGUACACCUGAAACAUAGUAUUGUACACUAACCAUUCUUCAAUUUAAAAAAAUGUACAGGGUUUUUGGUUUGGUUUUACUUCCAAAAAUUGACACAUGAAUUCCCUGCUGCAAAUACUCUGCACAUGUAGAUGCUUUAAUAAGUACAGUUCUUUGAUCUGGGCAUCCCAACUCCAGCGGGCAUCUUUGUUCCUUUUGAAAGCAGAGGCAGUGUUUCUCUUUACAUUGAAUUAUAAGUAACCACAAGGUGGCAUUCCUUCAGAACACAGUAUUGUCCCUACAUUUUGGCACCUACAUCUUGAAGACUUGAUACAGCUUGAAUUAACAAAUCAAUUCAUUUCUUUAUUGCUGUCCCUUUGGACAUUUUACUUAACUUCACAGAAGUUCUUCGUGUUCAGAUACUUAAGCAUCAACAUUUUAUUGCUAUUUAGGAUUUAUUUGCUGGAUUUAAGAUUUUGUAGCCAAGUCCCCCACUCCCUUUCCCACUCCAAAUAAUGUUUCUCUAUGCCUAAAGUAUUUGAAAGGCCAUUUUUAAUCCCACCUCCUAGAAAAUAACUCUUAGUUUAUGCACAAAAUAUAUAACAAACCCUUGUGGUUUAGAGCUCAGUUUUAGAAGACAGACAGACUGGACUGAAAAUUCAGCACUGCUCUCACAAAAUAUGUGACCUUGUGCAAGCUACUUGACCUCUCCAGUUCCUUCACUUCACCUCAUUUACAUUAAAUGAGAUAAUGCUUAUAAAAUGGUAUAGGGCCUGGCACAUGCAUGUUAGGUGCCCAAUACAUAAUAACUGCACUUAUUAUCAGUUAUAGCUAACAUAGGAGUUUAAAAACAUGUUCCUCAAAGCCCUCAUUAGUACCUAAAAUAUCUUCUUUAUAAUAGCUCUUAGGUUUAAGACAUAGCUUCUUAAAAAAAAAUCACUGAAUAAUAAUACUGUGUGCAGUUUAACUUGUUAGAACAGCUGAUUUUACUUCACUUUUGAACAUGGCCACAAAGGAAUAACAAAAAUAGAGAAAUAUUUGGAUACAAAGAUGAGGGUGAAGGCUAUAGAAAGUCAAGAACAGAGAUUGAAGAUGGAAGAGAAUAAGACUUGGAGGCAAUGUGGCAACUGAAUUCUGGAAAAUCAGCAAGACCAGGAUGUCUGGAGUGCAGACUUAUUUCCCUUAGUGUUUUCUACUCCCUCUACCUCUCUUAAAAUCGAAAUAGUAUUGCCUAAUCCAAAAUACUCUCUAAUGAAACACAGGAGACCUGAUAUUUCUAGGUUACAGUAAAAUUUGGUAUACUGAUGACAAUAAUCACUUUAAAUCUUAACAAUAUAAAUAAAUAUGUAUAUAUCAUUAUGUUAAAGUUAAUUAUCCACCAAGUCCCCAUAAAGAAUAAAAUUUGAAUAAUAUGGUUAGAAAAAAAAAUAAAAAUACCUAAUUUUGGCUCAGUCACAUACCUAAUUUAGGGAUGGUGAAACUGAGCUUCAGUCAUCUCUCACCAUAAAAAGUGAAUAGCAUAGUUUUUUCCUUGCAGGGUUUUUAUGAAACCAUGCAUAUGAAACACAAACUGUCCAUGAAAAUAUAAAAUGCAGUGCAUGACAUAUUGUGAUUGUUCAACAAAUACCAUUUUCCAUCUAUCUGAUUUUAAAUUCCAUAUUGUUCUUGCUACCCCCAUGGGGAGAUGCACCAUUAUGGCCAUCAUUUAUAAUUCUAAGUUGAGAAAAGACCUGGUCCUCUUGUAUCCUCAUCUACAUCCUGGACUUCUCUCUUUUUAUAUAUCUAUCCAUCUAUCCAUUCUACUCAUUUAUAUUUGGAUUAAUUUUGCUGUUUACAAACCUGUGUUACAUUUUUCUUGGGGGGGGUGUCAAAAUACUAUUUCCAAAAAGUGGUUAUGAGCAUGUAAAGAUUAUAACCUUCAAAAUCUUGGACUUUCAAUGACUAACAAUUUUAAGCUGAUAAUACCUGCUACUGCUCCCUAUACAAAGCUCGCCCUUCCUGAAAAUGUCAGAAGAAACAGACACCCCACCAAUGGCUAUUUCCUGCUUUUUACAUUUAUUAAGAAACAUCACCCAACUAGAGAGGGAUGUGUAAUAUGUAGGGCAUGUUAGACUGUAAUAGCAGAUGCCUAAAUUUCAAUAGUAAUACAAUAGACAUGCCUGGAUAAGUAUUCAGGUGAGGAGAAAAAUUCUACUCCAAGUAUUCAUCAAGGGACCAGGGUCCUUCUACCUUGUCUUUUCACCAUCCCAUAGAGCCAUGUCAUAAUAAAUAUCCAGC
rnacentral:lncRNA from 1 species